rnacentral:rRNA from 1 species
UAGGGAAUCUUCGGCAAUGGACGAAAGUCUGACCGAGCAACGCCGCGUGAGUGAAGAAGGUUUUCGGAUCGUAAAACUCUGUUGUUAGAGAAGAACAAGGACGUUAGUAACUGAACGUCCCCUGACGGUAUCUAACCAGAAAGCCACGGCUAACUACGUGCCAGCAGCCGCGGUAAUACGUAGGUGGCAAGCGUUGUCCGGAUUUAUUGGGCGUAAAGCGAGCGCAGGCGGUUUCUUAAGUCUGAUGUGAAAGCCCCCGGCUCAACCGGGGAGGGUCAUUGGAAACUGGGAGACUUGAGUGCAGAAGAGGAGAGUGGAAUUCCAUGUGUAGCGGUGAAAUGCGCAGAUAUAUGGAGGAACACCAGUGGCGAAGGCGGCUCUCUGGUCUGUAACUGACGCUGAGGCUCGAAAGCGUGGGGAGCAAACAGG